UCAACAUGAAGUUAGUAGGUCUUUUAUGCAUGUGUUUGUCUCUGGUAUUUGCCCAGCAGCCCCUGAAGCCGUGUAAAGCUAAUAGUACAUGUUCCUGUACCAAUGUUGAUGGUUAUAUAGAUCUACACCCUAUCGCUAACAGGAAUAAUACACCCUAUUUCAGAAAUGUCACAAACAGUCCUAAUUAUAUCUACUCCUACAACCCGUGUUACGGUUUUGCUGAAGGAAGUGUCUGUCAAAAUGCCGCUAUAUGCCAACUAGACAUAAGUGUUAACCAAUACUAUGUAAUUGGUUAUGCUAAUACGGUACGAUCCAUAGCAGACUCGGAAUAUGGCCUUAUAUUUCAAUAUUCUGCAACCACUGAUAUGCCACUACCAUCGACAGUCAGGACAGCAAAUGUUAUUCUUAUCUGUGAUUCAAAUAGAGAAGGCGAACUACAGUUUGUGAAAGAGGACCCUGUAAAAACUUAUUACUUUAAUUUGUAUUCUAAAUAUGCCUGUCCUAUACCACCGAAACCUACAGUUCCUGGUCCCCAAACAACACCUGUGUGGACAGCACCUCCAGGUAGACCUACUGGACCGCCCGCACCACCCUCCCCAACUUCCGUACCAGUUAUUUUCAGUUUGAAGGCCGUUGUUGUGCUACUUCUCUGUAUUUUGUUUGUGUUGACAUUUUUGUGUGGUUUGAUUAUUUUAGCCGUUUGUGUUUUUUCUGCAAGAUUUAAUUCUACCAACACUGAUAAGGCAGAACUUGGGCAGUCUGCAAAUUACGGCCAUAAAGACGAAAUGAAAAGAUAUUUAAAAAACGAAUUUUAAAAGCUGGGUUAAUUUUGUUGAUGGGAUGAAAAUGUAAACUAUAAAAAUAUAUUUAAACAACUGCAAGGUUGUUUUUGUGUUUAUAGUUUGAAAAUGUAAGUUAUACAAAUAAAAUGCUAAUAUAUA